AGGGGCUGAGGCUCAAUGGUAGAGUGUCUGCUUUGCAUGCAAAAGGUCCCAGGUUCAAUUCCCCACACCUCUA
rnacentral:tRNA from 1 species